GAACGCUGGCGGCAGGCCUAACACAUGCAAGUCGAGCGGUAGCACAGGAGAGCUUGCUCUCCGGGUGACGAGCGGCGGACGGGUGAGUAAUGUCUGGGAAACUGCCUGAUGGAGGGGGAUAACUACUGGAAACGGUAGCUAAUACCGCAUAACGUCGCAAGACCAAAGUGGGGGACCUUCGGGCCUCAUGCCAUCAGAUGUGCCCAGAUGGGAUUAGCUAGUAGGUGGGGUAAUGGCUCACCUAGGCGACGAUCCCUAGCUGGUCUGAGAGGAUGACCAGCCACACUGGAACUGAGACACGGUCCAGACUCCUACGGGAGGCAGCAGUGGGGAAUAUUGCACAAUGGGCGCAAGCCUGAUGCAGCCAUGCCGCGUGUAUGAAGAAGGCCUUCGGGUUGUAAAGUACUUUCAGCGAGGAGGAAGGCAUUAAGGUUAAUAACCUUAGUGAUUGACGUUACUCGCAGAAGAAGCACCGGCUAACUCCGUGCCAGCAGCCGCGGUAAUACGGAGGGUGCAAGCGUUAAUCGGAAUUACUGGGCGUAAAGCGCACGCAGGCGGUUUGUUAAGUCAGAUGUGAAAUCCCCGGGCUCAACCUGGGAACUGCAUUUGAAACUGGCAAGCUUGAGUCUUGUAGAGGGGGGUAGAAUUCCAGGUGUAGCGGUGAAAUGCGUAGAGAUCUGGAGGAAUACCGGUGGCGAAGGCGGCCCCCUGGACAAAGACUGACGCU
rnacentral:rRNA from 1 species